GUGAGGAAUUUUGCGCAAUGGGGGAAACCCUGACGCAGCAACGCCGCGUGAGUGAUGAAGGCCUUCGGGUUGUAAAGCUCUGUCAAGUGGGAAGAAACUUUUUCGGCUGAAUAAUCCGAAAAACUGACGGUACCACUGAAGGAAGCACCGGCUAACUCCGUGCCAGCAGCCGCGGUAAUACGGAGGGUGUAAGCGUUAUUCGGAUUUAUUGGGCGUAAAGGGCGUGUAGGCGGUCUGAACAGUCAGGUGUGAAAGCCCUUGGCUUAACCAAGGAAGUGCACUUGAAACUAUCAGACUUGAGUACGGGAGGGGGAAGUGGAAUUCCUGGUGUAGAGGUGAAAUUCGUAGAUAUCAGGAGGAAUACCGGUGGCGAAGGCGACUUCCUGGACCGAUACUGACGCUGAGACGCGAAAGCGUGGGGAGCAAACAGGAUUAGAAACCCCGGUAGUCC
rnacentral:rRNA from 1 species